GUACUCCGGGGAUAACAGGCUGAUACCGCCCAAGAGUUCAUAUCGACGGCGGUGUUUGGCACCUCGAUGUCGGCUCAUCACAUCCUGGGGCUGAAGUAGGUCCCAAGGGUAUGGCUGUUCGCCAUUUAAAGUGGUACGCGAGCUGGGUUUAGAACGUCGUGAGACAGUUCGGUCCCUAUCUGCCGUGGGCGCUGGAGAACUGAGGGGGGCUGCUCCUAGUACGAGAGGACCGGAGUGGACGCAUCACUGGUGUUCGGGUUGUCAUGCCAAUGGCACUGCCCGGUAGCUAAAUGCGGAAGAGAUAAGUGCUGAAAGCAUCUAAGCACGAAACUUGCCCCGAGAUGAGUUCUCCCUGACCCUUUAAGGGUCC
rnacentral:rRNA from 1 species